rnacentral:rRNA from 1 species
UCUGUUUGCAUGUCACCCUGCAGCCCAAGACCGGUUACUCACUGAAGCUAAGCAGGGCUGAGCCUGGUCAGUACCUGGAUGGGAGACCACUAGGGAACACUAGGUUGCUGUUGGAA